rnacentral:lncRNA from 1 species
UCAUUAAUGACAGAAACACAACCCCAGCUGGCCUUACAGACAGCUCUUCCCUCUGACUCGCAGGUUCUCACGGAGACACACUAACUCGGAAGCUUAGCCUCACGGUAGGCUGUAGAGGGCAUGCGCUGCUGCUAAGCUCAGAGUGGCUCAGCCGCAGUGCCACCUCCCAAAGUGAACACACUGCCUUUAAAAUUGUGCCAAUACCCUCCGAGUCCCCACUCUGAGGCACGUCAGGGCCAGCAAAGAAGCCAAGUCAGGUGUCCACACUCCCGACUAGAGAACAAGGUGGGAGCUGUGAAGCUGCCUCACCGCCCCAGGAGCCACUUACCGUGUCUCCAUGCCCAGUGGGCCGGCCGCAGUGUGGAAGGUGACCUCUGAAGCAGCUCUGGCAGCCUGUGCACACAGUGGUGCUCUACUUCCCCAGCCUCCACAGCCCAUGGCAAAGACACACAACCAAGUGGCCUUGUAGUUUGCCUUACUUGACAGUUGUGGCAUGUAGCAUCCCC